AUAUUAUUAAGCGGAGGAAAAGAAACUAACAAGGAUGCCCUCAGUAACGGCGAGUGAAGCGGGCAAAGCUCAACCUGAAAAUCGGGUUUCCCAAACGGGAUCUCGAAUUGUGGGCUACGGACUCGAGAUCAGCGUGUGACAUCGGUAUAAAUCAUUCUUUGAAACGAGGUAUCAUAGAGGGUGAGAAUCCCGUCUGUGACCGAUAGUUUGCCGCGUACGAUCCGGGUUCCCAGAGUCGCGUUGUUUGGGAUUGCAGCGCUAAAUGGGUGGUAAAUUUCAUCUAAAGCUAAAUAUCGACGAGAGACCGAUAGCGAACAAGUACCGUGAGGGAAAGAUGAAAAGAACUUUGAAAAGAGAGUUAAAAAGUACUUGAAAUUGCUAAGAGGGAAGCACUGGAAACCAGUAAUGACUUGGAGGCAUCUUUAAUGCCCGCUCCUGGAUUUGAUUAGUGUGUAGAGCCCAAAGCCUGCUGCUGGUCGAUGAAAGUGUGGGUAUGUCGUGCACUAGGUCAGGUCAAAAUCAAUUUGAUCCGUGAGAGAAAGCUAUCAUAACGGUAGGUCCGCGGGGGCAACUCCAAGGACUGUUUAGUAUGGUAGUGCUAUCAUGGGUUGGAUUGA
rnacentral:rRNA from 1 species